GGUCCGAUUGGAGCAGUACAGCCUCGUCCAGAACCAGGAUAAGUCCACUCCUAGGCUGUUACUGAGGAAGGUCCCACCGAUGGACGGCCCUCCAAGUUUCUCCUCCCCCAAGCUCAUCCAGGUAAGUAACUCUCACUCCUCUUCUGUCUCUCCCUCUUUCUCUCCCUCUCCUCCUGUCUCUCAAAGAAAAAAAAAAAAAAAAAAAAAAAGAGAGAAAAAAGAAAAAAGAAAGAAAGAAAAAAAGGAAAAAAAGACAAAAAGAAAGAAAGAAAAAAGAAAAGAAAGAAAGAAAAAAAAAGAAUUAAAAAAGAAAGAAAGAAAAAAUGAAAAAAGAAAAAAGAAAGAGAAAAAAAGAAAGAAAAAUGAAAAAGAAAGAAAGAAAAAAAAGAAAGAAAAAGAAAGAAAGAAAGAAAAACGAAAAAAGAAAGAAAGAAAAAGAAAAAAGAAAAGAAAGAAAGAAAAAAGAAAAAAAAGAAAAAAAGAAAAGAAAAAAGAAAAGAAAGAAAAAAAGAAAAAAGAAAGAAAAAAGAAAAGAAAGAAAGAAAAAAGAGAAAAAAGAAAGAAAGAAAGAAAAAAAAAGAAAGAAAGGACCUCGGUCCUUGUCCACAGCUUCCACUGUUCCUGUCCCAGGCCGAUGAUGAAGAGGGUCACGGCAACACCCAUGUCCUGUUCCAAGCCUCGCUGUGUAAGUAGGAAACCACACUGACAACACAGAUAGGCCAUUAAUUUCAAAGAUGUGAAACCUUCCCCUAAAAAAUCAUUUCUGCAAACUUCAGAUUUUAUAAUUUGUCGGUUUUUCUUUCUCAGGUCCGAUUGGAGCAGUACAGCCUCGUCCAGAACCAGGAUAAGUCCACUCCUAGGCUGUUACUGAGGAAGGUCCCACCGAUGGGCGGCCCUCCAAGUUUCUCCUCCCCCAAGCUCAUCCAGGUAAGUAACUCUCACUCCUCUUCUGUCUCUCCCUCUUUCUCUCCCUCUCCUCCUGUCUCUCAAAGAAAAAAAGAAAAAAGAAAGAAAAAAAAGAGAGAAAAAAGAAAGAAAGAAAAAAAGGAAAAAAAGACAAAAAGAAAGAAAGAAAAAAGAAAAGAAAGAAAGAAAAAAAAGAAUUAAAAAAGAAAGAAAGAAAAAAAUGAAAAAAGAAAAAAGAAAAAGAAAGAGAAAAAAGAAAGAAAAAAGAAAAAGAAAGAAAGAAAAAAAGAAAGAAAAAGAAAGAAAAAAAGACAGAAAAACGAAAAAAGAAAGAAAGAAAAAAGAAAAGAAAGAGGGAAAAAAGAAAAAAGAAAAGAAAGAAAAAAAAAGAAAAAAAGAAAAAAGAAAGAAAAAAAGAAAAGAAAGAAAGAAAAAAGAGAAAAAAGAAAGAAAAAAAAGAAAGAAAGGACCUCGGUCCUUGUCCACAGCUUCCACUGUUCCUGUCCCAGGCCGAUCAUGAAGAGGGUCAUGGCAACACCCAUGUCCUGUUCCAAGCCUCGCUGUGUAAGUAGGAAACCACACUGACAACAUAGAUAGGCCAUUAAUUUCAAAGAUGUGAAACCUUCCCCUAAAAAAUCAUUUCUGCAGACUUCAGAUUUUAUAAUUUGUCGGUUUUUCUUUCUCAGGUCCGAUUGGAGCAGUACAGCCUCGUCCAGAACCAGGAUAAGUCCACUCCUAGGCUGUUACUGAGGAAGGUCCCACCGAUGGGCGGCCCUCCAAGUUUCUCCUCCCCCAAGCUCAUCCAGGUAAGUAACUCUCACUCCUCUUCUGUCUCUCCCUCUUUCUCUCCCUCUCCUCCUGUCUCUCAAAGAAAAAAAGAAAAAAGAAAGAAAAAAAAGAGAGAAAAAAGAAAAAAGAAAGAAAGAAAAAAAGGAAAAAAAGACAAAAAGAAAGAAAGAAAAAAGAAAAGAAAGAAAGAAAAAAAAGAAAGAAAAAAGAAAGAAAGAAAAAAUGAAAAAAGAAAGAGAAAAAAAGAAAGAAAAAAGAAAAAGAAAGAAAGAAAGAAAAAGAAAGAAAAAAAGACAGAAAAACGAAAAAAGAAAGAAAGAAAAAAGAAAGAAAGAAAAAAGAAAAGAAAGAAAGAAAAAAAGAAAGAAAAAAGAAAAGAAAGAAAAAAAAAGAAAAAAAGAAAGAAAAAAAGAAAAGAAAGAAAGAAAAAAAGAAAUAAGUGAGAAAAAAAGAUGAAAGAAAGAAAAAAAAGAAAGAAAGGACCUCGGUCCUUGUCCACAGCUUCCACUGUUCCUGUCCCAGGCCGAUCAUGAAGAGGGUCACGGCAACACCCAUGUCCUGUUCCAAGCCUCGCUGUGUAAGUAGGAAACCACACUCACAACACAGAUAGGCCAUUAAUUUCAAAGAUGUGAAACCUUCCCCUGGAAAAAUCAUUUCUGCAGACUUCAGAUUUUAUAAUUUGUCGGUUUUUCUUUCUCAGGUCCGAUUGGAGCAGUACAGCCUCGUCCAGAACCAGGAUAAGUCCACUCCUAGGCUGUUACUGAGGAAGGUCCCACCGAUGGACGGCCCUCCAAGUUUCUCCUCCCCCAAGCUCAUCCAGGUAAGUAACUCUCACUCCUCUUCUGUCUCUCCCUCUUUCUCUCCCUCUCCUCCUGUCUCUCAAAGAAAAAAAGAAAAAAGAAAGAAAAAA
rnacentral:lncRNA from 1 species